CUGCACCGUGGAGCUCUUCUGCAUGACCAGACCUGCCCCCAUGGCAACAGUCUGGCCGUCCAAACUGUGGUCACGUCUGGUGAGGCUGUGCCUACUCCGUGCAGGUCUCAGCUAGGCAGGACCCCAGCAUGUUCUCAGGGCUUCCUCACGAUGAUCCUUCAAACCCCGGCACUGAUACGAUCCUCAUGGUACAGACAGAGACAGUGAGAUCUGCAGAAUCAGCACCAGCCCACGGUCGCAGGCACUCAUUGCAGCCUCUCCACACUGAACCCCACAAUGACCUGGGGGACUGUCAUGUUAGGGGUCCCCAUACAAGACAGUGCAGACUCAAAACUCAAAUCCAGUCACCACUGAGGGGCCCCUGGGUGAUCAGAAGCCUCCUCAGCAAUGCCUGAUUCUGUAUUUUAUUUAUGACAUUUGCGUAUUAAAAACUGUUCAUCUGUGUUGUGAAGCUAAAGAUAAAGAGAGCUAAUUUACUGAGGACCUAGGGAAACAUGAGGCAUUUUCUGCCCAUUUCUUCUCAUUCCUAGCAUCUUCUCCUCUUCCCUUCGCGGGUGAAAGCCUCUCCACGAGUCUCUCAGCUCAGAGGCAGGGGGCAGAACUGAGCUGCAGAGGCGAGGCCAGCCCCGCUGUCCCUCCUGGCGCAGCUCAGGCCCCGGCGGACUCCCUCACUCCUCAGCCGGUGCCUGAUCCAGCCCCUCCUGGGUCCGCUGGCCUGGCGGACGCCCAGUCACUGCCCUGCGGUCCUGAUGACAGCCACCGUGGGGAUGUAACACGGCAACUCCGCAUGGACCUCAGGCCACCGCCCUCCCCCUUCAGCUGGCUGAGGGCCCUGGGGACGUCAGCAGCUCCAGCACGUUGUAUAAUGCAGCCGAAUAAACAGCUGAACGCCUGAUGGAGGAAGAGCCCUACAAACGGAACCUGUAAACAGAAUAAUAUAAGGCAGACUGACUUCACUUACUCUUUUUAACAAUGAUGUGCUGAUCAUCCACUCCGUGCUGGGCAUUUUUCUAGACACAGCGGUGAACAAGGCGCGGGAGACCUCGGCUCGCCUGCAGCUUCAUUCUCGGCGGAGGAACACAGACGGGGCACAAGUGUGCUGUUCUGUAUCGUGGCGAAGACAAAACCUGGUAGACGUUCACAUACUACAAAAUGCCUAACAGACCUGAAAUAACUCUCCAUCUGAAAGCGGCAUGACCGCUGACCCUUCUGAGGGAGUAAACAUCAAGGGUGCCAUGGUGACCAUCCCGUGUGGGGUUCUUGGUGCUUUCAUAAGCAGAACUUGGGCUGCUGGGACCUAGCAAGUCAUGAGGCCAGUGAUAGUUCCCAAAGCCCUGGCAUGAAGUGUCAUCAGGCGAGGGACACUGGGCUCCAGGGAGGAAUAGGAAAACACCUGUCAUUUCAGAGGCAGAGCCCAUUAACUGGAUCGAAACGUUAAAAACCAAUGGCAAAGCUGGGUGUAACUAAGUGUGAAGUUCCAGGUUCAGGAAAAACAGCAGCACUGCUGGCAGCCUUUUAAGGUCUGAGCAAGAUGAAAUCAAGCAACAGUGAGAUGCAGAACACUCUCUCCUAAGCUGGCAACCUC